AAAAAAACCCUGCAGAUAAUUCUGCAGGGCUCCUUCCAACUCUUCAUGAGUGAAGGCAAAGGGAGAGGAGAAACCGGAGGAAGAACUUAUGGGGAAACGUAAGUCUUCUCCGCG
rnacentral:ncRNA from 1 species